rnacentral:rRNA from 1 species
UACGUAGGGAGCAAGCGUUGUCCGGAAUCAUUGGGCGUAAAGCGCGCGUAGGCGGCCCGAUAAGUCCGCUGUGAAAGUCAACGGCUCAACUGUUGGAUGCCGGUGGAUACUGUCGGGCUAGAGUACGGAAGAGGCAAGUGGAAUUCCUGGUGUAGCGGUGGAAUGCGUAGAGAUCCGGAGGAACACCAAUGGCGAAGGCAGGGUCCUGGCUGGUAGCUGAGCGCUGAGGUGCGAAAGCCAGGGGAGCGAACGGG